rnacentral:lncRNA from 1 species
GCCGGCUCUGGCCUUGGCCAGCCCAGAAAGGGGCUGCCAUAGUGCAGCGGAGGGCUGAAGGGCUCCUCAAGUGCCGUCAAAGUGGGAGCCCAGUCAGAGGAGGUGCCGAAAGCGAGCGAGGGCUGUGAGGACUGCCAGCACAGUGUCACCUCUCACUCUCUCUCAGUGCUGUGAGAGUAUGGGUUCCUCUCCCACUUGAGUGCUGGCUACAGAACUUGGCUUCGCACUGCUGGGCUGUGCACCACGGCCCUAAGCUGGAGGGCAGUAAGGGCAGUACCGCUGCAGCCGCAAUGAGAGAGGGGCUGUGCGUUGUCUACAGAAUUCCCUCCCCAGAGAAACUCAGAGCUGCCACCUACUGAAAUGUUCAGAUCUACUCCAGGAAAAGUGUUGAUCUAUGGAGAAACUCCCAAUGCACCUACACAAAAAAAGCAUCUGUCUGCGUUCCAUUGACAAAGACCACCCUUAGUGUGGACAGCACGUUUUCUUAUCUAUUUGAUUCAUGGGAUGUUUAUGUGGAUAAUUCCUUUGAAAUCCAGCUUGAUUUAUGAACAAUCUUCUCUGCUCUAUUGAGCCAUUAAAUCCAGAGUAUUAGUGCAUUUGGAAUACACAGAGAUGAUAAUGACAUCCAAAGAAGAGUCCAGCAAAACUUAUUUCCAUGAGGACUUUUUCAGAGGGAUGAAGUAACAUUAGCUAUACAGGUUAGCAUUAUAAGACUUCCCAAGUGUAGAUGAGAAUAAUGGCAACUCUGUGGUCCUAAGGAUGAAUAUUGCUCUGGAAUAUGCAUUUUACACUAUAUGAAAGAAAUUAGGAUCGAUAUAAGCUCACUUAUCUUUGCCUUAUUCCUCCUCAUGUUGUUUUUGUCUAGAUUG